GAAGAGGCCUCACUGGGGAGCCAGGAGUUAGUUAUCAUGGUGGUAAUUGCAGAUUUCAAUAAGAGAAGACCCUCUAAGGCAAUGACAUAGUAAGAAGAUGUACAUCUGCAAACCAGGAAGGGAGCCCUCGCCUGACAACUAGAUCUGCCAGCACCUUGAUCUUGGAUUUUCUAGCCUUUAGAACUGCAAAAAAUAAAUGUUUGUUGUUUAAACCA